rnacentral:misc_RNA from 1 species
GAUGAAGAACGCAGCGAAAUUCGAUAAGUAAUGUGAAUUGCAGAAUUCAGUGAAUCAUCGAAUCUUUGAACGCACAUUGCGCCCGCCAGUAUUCUGGCGGGCAUGCCUGUUCGAGCGUCAUUUCAACCAUCAAGCCCCCGGGCUUGUGUUGGGGACCUGCGGCUGCCGCAGGCCCUGAAAAGCAGUGGCGGGCUCGCUGUCACACCGAGCGUAGUAGAUUUUAUCUCGCUCAGGGCGUGCUGCGGGUUCCGGCCGUUAAACCACCUUCAUAACCCAAGGUUGACCUCGGAUCAGGUAGGAAGACCCGCUGAACUUAAGCAUAUCAAUAAGCGGAGGA